UACGAAGGGGGCUAGCGUUGCUCGGAAUCACUGGGCGUAAAGCGCACGUAGGCGGAUCGAUCAGUCAGGGGUGAAAUCCCAGAGCUCAACUCUGGAACUGCCUUUGAUACUGUUGAUCUGGAGUAUGGAAGAGGUGAGUGGAAUUCCGAGUGUAGAGGUGAAAUUCGUAGAUAUUCGGAGGAACACCAGUGGCGAAGGCGGCUCACUGGUCCAUUACUGACGCUGAGGUGCGAAAGCGUGGGGAGCAAACAGG
rnacentral:rRNA from 1 species